CCAGGUCUAAAACUGAACCUUUAUUAAUGGUCCGGUGUAGACCUGCAGGACCAGGUCCAGGUCUAAAACUGAACCUUUAUUAAAGGUCCAGUGUAGACCUGCAGGACCAGGUCCAGGUCUAAAACUGAACAAUUAUUAAAGGUCCAGUGUAGACCUGCAGGACCAGGUCCAGGUCCAGUGUAGGCCUGCGGGACCAGGUCCAGGUCCAGUGUAGGCCUGCGGGACCAGGUCCAAGUCCAGUGCAGGCCUGCGGGACCAGGUCCAGGUCUAAAACUGAACCAUUAUUAAAGGUCCGGUGUAGACCUGCAGGACCAGGUCCAGGUCCAGUGUAGACCUGCAGGACCAGGUCCAGGUCCAGUGUAGACCUGCGGGACCAGGUCCAGGUCCAGUGUAGACCUGCGGGACCAGGUCCAGGUCCAGUGUAGACCUGCGGGACCAGGUCCAGGUCUGUAAAGAAACCCAGAACUGAUGACGUCUCCUGAAACUAACAGCUGGAAGUUUUAAGACUUCUCAGAUCCUGUUUUCUUUGUGGACCUGAACGCCCCCUCAGUCUUCCUCUUCCUGUUUUCUGGUCC